rnacentral:rRNA from 1 species
UGGGGAAUCUUGGACAAUGGGCGCAAGCCUGAUCCAGCCAUGCCGCGUGGAUGAUGAAGGCCUUAGGGUUGUAAAAUCCUUUCGUGGGGGACGAUAAUGACGGUACCCCAAGAAGAAGCUCCGGCUAACUUCGUGCCAGCAGCCGCGGUAAUACGAAGGGGGCUAGCGUUGUUCGGAUUUACUGGGCGUAAAGCGCGUGUAGGCGGGUCGUUAAGUUGGGGGUGAAAUCCCGAGGCUCAACCUCGGAACUGCCUUCAAAACUGGCGACCUGGACUCAAGCAGAGGCAAGUGGAAUUGCGAGUGUAGAGGUGAAAUUCGUAGAUAUUCGCAGGAACACCUGAGGUGAAGACGGGUUGCUGGGCUGACACUGACGCUGAGGCGCGAAAGCCAGGGGAGCAAACGGGAUUAGAUACCCACGUAGUCCCUGAGCGGGCUGGCAAGGCGCAU